CGAAUACUUUUCCAAACAGCUCAAUUUCUGAGACAGGAAUGAAGUAUUAUGCUAAGGUGUUUGCAAACUGCAGUGACAAGUCAGAUUAUCCUAAAGGUGUGACAGCGAUCAGAGACCCCGAUUCC
rnacentral:sRNA from 1 species